rnacentral:rRNA from 1 species
AUUAGUUCGGAACUGCUUUGGGGGGAUACGAACGGUAGCUAUACGCAUACGUCGCAGACAAAGAGGGACUCGGCUCUGCAUCAAUGUGCCAGAUGGAUACUAUAGUGGGUACGGNUCACUAGCGAGAUCCUACUGUCUGAAGAUGACACACACUGGAACUGAACCGUCAACUCUACGGAGCAAUGGGAUAUGCCAUGGCGCAAGCUGAUGCAGCCAUGCCGCGUGUUUGAAGAAGGCUUCGGGUUGUAAAGUACUUUCAGCGGGGAGGAGUGUUGUGGGUAAUACCACAGGCAUUGACGUUACCGCAGAAAAAGCACCGGCUAACUCCGUGCCAGCAGCCGCGGGUAAUACGGAGGGUGCAGCCGUUAAUCCGGAAUUACUGGGGCGUAAGCGCAACGCAGGCGGUCUGUCAAGUCGGAUGUUGAAAUCCCCGGGCUCAACCUGGGAACUGCAUUCAAAACUGGGCAGGGCUUAAGUCUUGUAAAAGGGGGGGUAGAAUUCCAGGGUGUAGCGGUGAAAUGCCGUAGAGAUCUGGAGGAAUACCGGUGGGCGAAGGCGGCCCCCCUGGACAAAGACUGACGCUCAAGGUGCGAAAGCGUG